rnacentral:rRNA from 1 species
GACAGAGGAGCCAAGCGUUGUCCGGAUUGACUGGGCGUAAAGGGUGCGUAGGCGGGUCUUUAAGUCAGGGGUGAAAUCCUGGAGCUCAACUCCAGAACUGCCUUUGAUACUGAGGAUCUUGAGUUCGGGAGAGGUGAGUGGAACUGCGAGUGUAGAGGUGAAAUUCGUAGAUAUUCGCAAGAACACCAGUGGCGAAGGCGGCUCACUGGCCCGAUACUGACGCUGAGGCACGAAAGCGUGGGGAGCAAACAGG